GGGACCUUAGCUCAGCUGGUAGAGCACUAGACUGAAGAUCUAGGUGUCCUGGGUUCAAGUCCCAGAGGUCCCA
rnacentral:tRNA from 2 species